rnacentral:rRNA from 1 species
UACAGAGGGUGCGAGCGUUGUCCGGAAUCACUGGGCGUAAAGGGUGCGUAGGUGGCAGGAUAAGCGUGUGGUGAAAGCCCGGGGCUCAACCCCGGGUCUGCCAUGCGAACUGUCUUGCUUGAGCAUAGUAGAGGCAGGUGGAAUUUCGGGUGUAGCGGUGGAAUGCGUAGAGAUCCGAAAGAACACCGGUGGCGAAGGCGGCCUGCUGGGCUAUUGCUGACACUGAGGCACGACAGCGUGGGGAGCAAACAGG